ensembl:lncRNA
GCGCCACAUUGCUCGCAGCUGCCGCUGGAACCCGCAGCUCCAUCUGAAUGCGCUGCAACAAUGAACGGAUCAAAGCUGCCCAAUAUCGCUGUCUGCUCCCGACCAAAGCUGCCCAAUAUCGCUGUCUGCUCCCGACCAAAGCUGCCCAGCAUCCCUGUCUGCUCCUGGCGGCCGGCGAGGAGCGAGGGCUCCCGGAAACCUCCGCUUGCUUCGGGCUUUUUCCCCCCUGUGCAAAAAACCACAGACAAACAAACUGGGGGGAAGCAAAGGAGACUCCAGUGGGUGUUGCGGCAGCACAGCCGAGGGCUCAGGAGUCAGGAAAUUCCAGUCCCGGCAGCCUGCUGGUUGGAGUACAUGGAGGCCAGGGGUGAGCAGGAGGGGACGGGACAUUCUGCCGGCUGGGAAAUCAUCCUGAGCUGGGCUGGGAUCUCGGUGACCUGCGCUCCCUCCUCUGCUCUGCCACGUCCUCCUCGCACAGCCCUGAGCACAUCACUGCGGGUUCUUCUGGCAGGAAUCAUCGCUCUCCAUCAGGUGUGCCCACCCAUCAGGAGCUUCCCUGGAAAACCCAGGGCCCCCAAGCCCUUCCUCUGUUGGAUACUGGUAAAUAAAGCAAGCAGGGAUGAGAUCCCAGCACCAGAGGCACAGCACAGCAGCUGGACCAGCACCAGGAUGGGGAUGGGAAUGAGGUGUCUGGUCUUUGCCCAGACUGUGCCAGCCUACAUCUUGGCUCAUGCAGAGCCUCCAGCCAUCCAUUCUCCCCCAAAAAAUCUUUAUUCAGCUCCCCUGGAACCCAAACAUCUGCCAUCAUGCUCAGCGAUUUGAGUCAAACAAGCCACCUUCAGAAAACAAAACCAGACCCAACUGAUGUUAGCAAAAAGGAGUAAAAGCAUGGGAGGGGAAAUGAAAGCUGAGAGAAAGUGGGAGGAAGAAAAAUGCAAGGAGCAAAUAGCUGGAGAAUGAUCCGAUAACGACCACAGAGCAGCAGCCCCUUACUUGCCAGCAGCAAAAGAAAAACCCAAACAGAAAGCAGGUAAAAUCUGCAGAAAAUAUGAAAACAAGAUUGGUGGCAAGUAACCAGGGGCACAGGCUGGUUGUGCAGGCAGGUGCUUCUGAGCUGGGAAUCACUGAAAAUUCAUUUUGGUGUGGCUGUAGGAAAAGGCGAAUGUUUUGGAGCAAGUGAUGAGGGUCACACCUUAGGGGAUGUGUGUAGGGGGGUACAUCCUGGAAAUCAGUGACUCAGAACCAACUGGAACAGUCCUGGUAGACAAUUGCUGGUGUUUGAACUCCCAGCAAUGCCUUAGCCAAGAAGGUUGGAGUAAUCCUUGGCUGCGCAGACGGCAAGUAUGAAGUGGGAGUGCUGAACUGAUAUUAUCUCUGUAAACAGCAUUAGUGAGACCAUUUCUGAAAAGUUAUGUCUGGUCCUGAUGUUCACAUAUCCAAAAAAAGAUCUUAAGGAAGCAGCAAAGAUUCCUGCCAGAGCGAUUUCAGGCAUUGGAAGCCUACUUUAGAGAGAGAAAAACGUAUCCAAGGGGAAAAUGAAGUGACUUUACUGCAGGUUAUCAACAUCUGCGCAGGUAUAAGCCCUGCAAACAGCAUCAAGGAAAGUUGCAAUGAAAUGAUGUCUGGGAAAUUCAGAUUAAAUCCAAGUGAGAGAUCUGAAUCAGCUGUGCAGAGGUCAGGUUUCCCCCAGGAAAUCCAGAUGACCUCCUAACAUCCAACAUAGCUGAAGGUUGGCAGGUUUUUCACGCCAACUGCUCUCUCAUCAAGGUGGCCUUUGGCUUGGUAAUUGGCUGACCCCAACUUUGGAGGAGUGGAAUGGCUGGGUUUUGGUGCAAAAGCUUGAGGUUAUGCCACUAUGGCCCAGAGAUGUGGGUGGACCUUCUGUUACCGCUAUAGGUCAUGGUUUUGGGGAGGUUUGGGGUUCUGGGUGAAUCACAGCACACAAAGUCACUUUGUGACUGGCUGGCACAGGGAGAUUUUUCUUACAUUACUCAGCCAGAAAGGUAGCAACAAAGGUAAUGGGGCACGAGAGCGCUUCUUUUGCUGACUGCUGAACACCAUGGAGGAAAACAGAUGGAUCAAGAGUUGUUGACGUUGAUGGGGAUCUUUCCAAGUGCCUUCAGUGGGCAUUUGGGUGAGGUACAUAUGCUCUUGGAUAUCAGUGGGCUGAUCUCCACAGCAAAUGAAAUGGCCCCUGGAUGUCACUGCUGUGCUACAGUAGAGCAGCAGAGGAGCCUCAUUCUAUGGGAUGUAAAGAAGAUGGAGUUAAGGCCCGGAGACGAGGCCUGGAUAAGUGGAAGUGUUGGCUCAGGCCCUUGGUCUGCCUCCAGCACAGAUUGCAAAUGACUGCGAGUUAUCAUCUGACAGAUGCUCUGUCGUGGCUCCCGUCCAUUUCCUACUGCACAAGUCUAUACAUCACAGGCCUGCGUGGUCAAACCAGCCUUGGCUGCUGCUUUCUCUCCAGUUUCUCCUCUUUACUUCUUCAAACCCCUCCCUUCUCCAGGGAAAAAUAAACCAACCAAAGACCCAACA